rnacentral:rRNA from 2 species
CUAUACCUGCAGUCGAGCGGACAGAUGGGAGCUUGCUCCCUGAUGUUAGCGGCGGACGGGUGAGUAACACGUGGGUAACCUGCCUGUAAGACUGGGAUAACUCCGGGAAACCGGGGCUAAUACCGGAUGGUUGUUUGAACCGCAUGGUUCAGACAUAAAAGGUGGCUUCGGCUACCACUUACAGAUGGACCCGCGGCGCAUUAGCUAGUUGGUGAGGUAACGGCUCACCAAGGCGACGAUGCGUAGCCGACCUGAGAGGGUGAUCGGCCACACUGGGACUGAGACACGGCCCAGACUCCUACGGGAGGCAGCAGUAGGGAAUCUUCCGCAAUGGACGAAAGUCUGACGGAGCAACGCCGCGUGAGUGAUGAAGGUUUUCGGAUCGUAAAGCUCUGUUGUUAGGGAAGAACAAGUGCCGUUCAAAUAGGGCGGCACCUUGACGGUACCUAACCAGAAAGCCACGGCUAACUACGUGCCAGCAGCCGCGGUAAUACUUAGGUGGUAGGNGUUGUUCUUAAUUAUUGGUNGUAAAGGGCUCGUA